rnacentral:lncRNA from 1 species
AUAAAAAACUACGUCUCAUGCGAGGUAUCGGCAUAGAUUCACAAUGAGUUUUACCUAAGCUGGAUCAGUCCCAAUUACUCUCUCAACCUUUAUGGAAUGUUUAGGACACCUCUCGCCUAUCGAAUGUCGUUCCGUCCCGCCACAGCCAUCAAUGCCCGCCGUCUUCGUCUAGCCGUUGGAGUUGCUGAAUCUGCGUAGACGGUAAGGUAGGUCCCUUGGGUGGACAUGGGCAGAGAAGCCGAUUGUGUUCACAUAUUGAGGGUGCAUAGUAGAUACACACACACACACAUAUAUAUAUAUAUAUAUAUUUAUGGCAAUCAACGAGUGAAGCCGAUUUAAGAUCAUAGGAUAAAGGCUUUUAC